rnacentral:rRNA from 1 species
GGACCAUCGUGUCGGUCGUGCCUCGGUACGUACUGGCAUCGUCGGUUUCUCCCUUCUGACGAACCAUGAUGUCAUUUAUUUGGUGUUGUGGGGAAUCAGGACUGUUACUUUGAAAAAAUUAGAGUGUUUAAAGCAGGCUUAUUAGGCUUGAAUACAUUAGCAUGGAAUAAUGAAAUAGGACGAUUGAUCCUAUUUUGUUGGUUUCUAGGAUUGACGUA